CAUGGAGUUUGAUCCUGGCUCAGAUUGAACGCUGGCGGAAUGCUUUACACAUGCAAGUCGAACGGUAGAGGGGGCAACCCCUCGAGAGUGGCGAACGGGUGAGUAAUAUAUCGGAACGUGCCCAGUCGUGGGGAAUAACGUAGCGAAAGUUACGCUAAUACCGCAUACGAUCUAAGGAUGAAAGCGGGGGAUCGCAAGACCUCGCGCGACUGGAGCGGCCGAUAUCAGAUUAGGUAGUUGGUGAGGUAAAGGCUCACCAAGCCAACGAUCUGUAGCUGGUCUGAGAGGACGACCAGCCACACUGGAACUGAGACACGGUCCAGACUCGUACGGGGAGCAGCAGUGGGGAAUAUUGGACAAUGGGCGCAAGCCUGAUCCCAGCCCAUGCCGCGUGAGUGA
rnacentral:rRNA from 1 species